rnacentral:rRNA from 1 species
GAUGAACGCUGGCGGCGUGCCUAAUACAUGCAAGUCGAGCGAACGGACGCGAAGCUUGCUUCUCUGUUGUUAGCGGCGGACGGGUGAGUAACACGUGGAUACCCUACCUAUCAGACUGGUAUAACUUCGGGAAUCCGUAGCUAAUCCCGGAUAAUCUUUUGCACCGUAUUGUUCAUUAGUGAAAGACGGUCUUUCUGUCUCUUCUCGCUGGUUCCGCGCUGCAUUAGCUAGUUGUUAAGGUAACGGCUUACCACGGCAACGAUGCGUAGCCGACCUGAGAGGGGGAUAGGCCACACGGGAAGGGAGACACGGACAAGAGGCCUACGGGAGGGAGCAGAAGGGAAUGGGCCGCAAUGGGCGAAAACAUGACGGAGCAACGCCGAGUGAGAGAUGAAAAUCUAGGGAUCGUAAAACUCUGUUAUUAGGGAAGAACAGAUGUGGAAGGAACUGUGCAGAGAGUGACGGUAACUAAUCAGAAAGCAACGGCUAACUACGUG